GAAGAGAAAAGGGUUUUCAAGGGAGAAAUCCAAAGAGAUAUGGAGCAUGAUAAGAAGGGGAGAUGCCUUGGCGGAGGAGAGGAAGAGGAGGCAGAGCAGUACGAUGGUUGAGGUGUUGCCGCCAGACAAUCUGGACGGCUUCAGCCACCACUGCGACGAACUCCAUUCCCAUCUUCGUGCAAAGCUCCCAUUUCUUCUCAGCCAUUACAGCUUCUGCUUCAUCCCGACUUUCAUUUGGCGUGGUUGCGGUCUUCCAUUCGCGUGUGAAGCUCAGGUACGCCCUUAGUUAUUUCGCCACGCUUCAGAGUCUACAGUUACUCGACUAGGAGGAGAGUGAGACUUAGUUCCCUUACCGGAUUAACCAGGGCGAUGGUGAUGAGGGAAGGAUCCAGAGUUGCGCCCACAACUUGGUCGUGUGUCCGAUGACUCAAAGCUACAAUCCCAAUGGUUGUACCGUUUUUGAUUAAAUUUUAGUUCGAUUGUAGAUGUAAUGAUGCCCAUUUUGGAAAGUAUUAAUAAAAAUUAAGUUAUAAAAAAACUAUAAAAUAUUUUUAGACAAAGUGAUCGAGAAAAUAGUGGCAUUUUAAUGCCAUAAAUAACUGAAUUAAUUGUAAGUUUUCAACAUAUACUACUACCAUAUAUCACAAAUCGGAAUAUUAUAAAAAUAUUCUUCUCCGAGAAAUUAAGUGAAAAGGAAGCUCAACCACUUCGAUGUUUGUUAAACUCCAAGUUGACUUACCAUAAAAGGAAGAGUAUAACAUGAACGGGAUUAGGUCUCUAUUUAGCUUGUCGUUAAUCAUUAUCAUAUCCAUACCCUCAACAGCAAGAUGCUUGCUAUAAAACGUCACGUCGCAUCGCCAUCCUCAUAAUAGAGCGCCCUCUCCCAACAGCACGUUGAGUAAACCAAGGCCAUACGAUACCAUAAAGUAUUUGUCCUUAUCAAACAAAUCUCAAUGAACUAUCUGGACUGUUGAUUUUUAUGUAUAUCAACAUCUGAAUAGAAGAAACGAACAAAAUAACAAUUACAUGAUUAAAUUAUCAUAUCGUUCAAUAAACGUGUGUUAUAUAAAUUUUAAUCUAUAUAUCAAAAAAUACGUGAACAUCAUAAGACUCGGUUUCCCUAUUAACUUGAUCUUAAGAAAAAAAAUUCUAAACGCUAUAAGUUUCGUUAAAAAUGAAGAUGAAUUUUAGGAAAAGAAGAAAGAAUUGAAAGCACAAAUAAAAGAUGUUUUUUUUUUUCCAAAUAUAACUCAAAACUCAAAAUCAAACACAAAACUAAUUCAUGAUUUUUUUGGAACUUUCAUUUGCUCUAUUCAUCCAAAAAAUUUGAAAUAUUUACGAAAAUACCAUUAUUAUUAUUUUUUCGAAAAUAAGUUUUUUAAAUCUCUCAUCUUCUACAAAUAUUUAUAAUAUUGUCAUUGUCAUCAAUACACCAACCACAAUGAACAACCAAUUUGAAGCUUUUAAGGCACCUAAAAAUCGAUUUUAACUCCUUCUAUCUCAUUUUUUAUGAACUAAAAACAUCAAUUUCACUUUCUCUCUAUAUUCAUCGAAAAAAACCCAAGAUUUUGAUUCUAAAUUUUUUAAGGUACAUAGAACCGUUCAAGCUCAUGAUUCGUGGUCAUUAACAAGUAGGUUGCUUUGGUGGUGAAGUAUUGUGUGGUUGGAGAAGUUAAACAAGUUAUCUCACUGGUUAAAGCUAUGAAAUCAAUUUUUUUUUCAGAUCUGUCCGUCAGAAGACUUCCGUAUAAGUUUUUUUCGACGAGAAGACUUACACGGAAGUCUUCUGGUCAAUGCAUAGGUUAGUUUCGCAGUUGACUUUAUGUGUGUUUUUUAGAGACGACUUCUCUAGAAGUCUUCCGGUUUUCUUUUUCAAAAAAAAAAUUAGAGAAGACUUCUCAAUAAAUCGUCUAGGAUAAACAAAUUAGUUUUUCAUUUGACCAGAUUGUGUAAGAAAUUUUACUUUUCUUAGACGACUUACAUGGAAGUCGUCCAACAGAAAAAUAAAAUUAAAUAUUUAAUUUUUACUAGACGACUUCCAAGUAAGUCGUUUCAGGUUACUUUUGCAAUUGAAAAACAAAACUUAAAUAUUUAAUUUUAUUCGGAUGACUUCAAUAUAAUUCUUCCGGUAGACGACUGACACAUAAGUCUUCCAGGAUUUUAUUCCGAGAUUCUGGUCAAACUUCGGUUAUAUACAAAAGACUUCCAUAUAAGUCGUCUGCCGAAAGACUUAUAUAGAAGCCGUCCGGAUAAAAUAAAAUUUUUAAAUUUUAAUUUUCAAUUGUAAAAGUAACCUGAAACGACUUACAUGGAAGCCGUCUAGAAAAAAAUCGAUAUUUAAAUUUUAUUUUUAUAUUGGACGUGUAAGUCAUCUAGGAAUAAUGAAAUUUCUGACACAAUCCAGUCAAAUGCCAAACUAACAUGUUUAUCUUAAGUUAGUUUUUGUAAAACUUGUAUUUUCAACUUUAAGAUUUAUAUUUUUGAACUUUCAAAAGUGUUAAGUAACUUCAAAAAUAUCAAGUCAUAUGGUUUAAUGUGUCUUCUUAGAUCAUAAGAUAUACUUUUUAAUUUUCAUGAAAUUUGAAAUUUUAAUUUUCACUUAAAUUUGAGUUUUCCACUUAAAUUUUCCUCUUAUAUAUAAAUUUUCCGCGUGAAAUUUAAGUCUUAUGAGAAGAAGUCUUCCGGAAGACUUCCCAGAAAACUUCUAGUGAAAGAGUUAUAAGUAGUUUAGCAAGAAAAAGAAACUGUUAUAGGUUUGAACUAAUGUAAUGUUUGAUAUUUUGUGAAUUUGAUUAAGUUUUCUUGAGAAGUUUUCUUGAGAAGAUUUCUCUAUUAGUUGUAGUAAAUUUGACUAUUUUUUGUGUUAUUGUGUUUUCUAUUUAAAUUGUAUCAAUAACUUCAAUAAUGUCAAAUACUUUUGGCAAGACAAUAUUGUAAACAUGAACAUAUUUACCUAAUCUUUUUAUUAAUAAUUUUUCAAAUUUACAAAAGAAUUCACAACUAAAAGAGUACACAUGUAAAUUACAAAACAUACCAUAAACAAAACUAUUACUCCAUCUGUUUCACAAAGAGUGUCACUUAGACAAUUUUCACACAUAUUAAGGAGUUCAUUAAAAUGUAUUUAUGUUUUCAUUAAUAUCACAUAUUUAACCAAUAGUAUUUUAGAUAAUUCAAUUUAUUUAUAAAAUCAAUGCAUUUUGCAAUUAAUGUUGAGCUGAAAGGUUGUAUAAAUUGCAUUGGUAUUGUAGAAUGACAUUCUUUGUAAAACAAGAAAAACUGAGCUAAAGUGACACUUAAUAUGAAACAGAGGGAGUAUAGUUCAUUCCUCCACAAAGACAAGCUUUCCACUUGACAUGGAAAAAGACUUUGCCAGAAGACUUCCAGGAAGUCGUCUAGUGCAUUAAAUGUUAGAAGACUUCCGAGAAGACUUCCUUGAAAGUUUUUCAAGUCUGUCUCAAAUGGCUUCAAAACAUAGAAAAAUUUCAAAAAUAAGGUAAGAGCUUAAAACAACCAAAAGAAUUUUUCAAAAGUAAGAGUUUUAAACAACAGUAGGUUACCAAAUAAGAAAAUAUGAUUUAUAGAUCUACCUUUAAAAGAGUGGAAGAUGAGAACCAUGUAAUGAAAAACCUACAAAACAAGAUGAAUUAGUGAGAAUAACAUGAGACAAAAAAUGAUAAAUUGAUAUAAAGUUUGGUGUUUAGAAAAAUGAUAAAUUAUGAAAAAGAUAAGAUCUUUAAGCAACAAGAGGUUACCAAAUGAAGAAAAACCAGACAUAUAAACUUACUAAAACACUCAGAUCUGAAAUGAAAGAAGAGACAUGAAAAGACUUCCGAAAAAACGUGUGUCUCAGAUCUGAAAACAUGCUUAUCGAAAAGCAUUCAAAU